ensembl:lncRNA novel transcript
AGGGUGUGGGGUGGGUUGUGAGUAGUCCUGGCCGGACACUGCGGAGCUGCCUUUCUCCCUGGAUGUCCUCUCUACUAGCUCUCCCUGUGUAAGCCUCAACCACCUGUACGAGGAGGGGGUGGUGGGGAGGCCCGGGAGGCGAAUCCAGGAGCCUUUCUCCCAGAACGGGGGCCCGAGAUACGGAUUUGAGAGAUGCUUUCACAAAGCCUCACCAAGUCCCACGGGGCCAAUUUCUUCUCCGGGGGCCGAAGUGCAGAAUCUGGAGGAGAAAAAGAUUUCUCGGUGGAAGCUGGAGCCUGAACUUCCAUGUGGUUGUUGGAGAUUCGGUGCCUAAAAAAAGACAUACCAGGAUCUUGCCUGAUCUUUCACUCUGCUUUUAAAAACUUUCCUCUUAAAGAGGGAACUUUUUUGCUUUUCUCUCUCAAAGUAUAAUAUGCUUGUUGAAACUUCAAACUUAAAUGGGAGAGAAAAAUUCUCUGAAAAUAUUUUGCCAUUUUUCCUUGUUUACACAAAGAGAGGUGGAUGUUUACAUGUUUGAUUCACAUACACAUGUAAAGCUGGUACUUUCGGUUAAAACUUUCUAGAACAUAGCAAUCAGGGGUUGUUUGAGCUUCCCACCCCGCUUUCUUUCUCUUGGUCAUAUUUUAUUAUGAGAUAAAAUUCAUUUUGUUUUCUGUAAUAAGCAUCUUGCUCAUUAUUUUAUUGCUCUCCAUUGUUCUUUAAAUGAAAUACAUCUUAAAAUUA